rnacentral:rRNA from 1 species
GAUAAGGUUAAGUGAAUAAGGGCGCACGGUGGAUGCCUUGGCACUAGGAGCCGAUGAAGGACGGGACUAACACCGAUAUGCUUUGGGGAGCUGUACGUAAGCUAUGAUCCAGAGAUUUCCGAAUGGGGGAACCCAGCAUCUUUAAUAGGAUGUUACGAUUGUGUGAAUACAUAGCACAUUCGAGGUAGACGCAGAGAACUGAAACAUCUAAGUACCUGCAGGAAGAGAAAGAAAAUUCGAUUCCCUGAGUAGCGGCGAGCGAAACGGGAAAAGCCCAAACCAGCAAGCUUGCUUGUUGGGGUUGUAGGACUCCAAUAUGGUAGUUCUUUCAGAUAGUCGAAUGACUUGGAAAAGUCAGUCAAAGAGGGUAAAAACCCCGUAGACGAAAUGUGGAAGACACCUAGGAGGAUCCUG